GGACGCUGGCUACGGGUGGCCGGGCGGGAUGUAACCGGCUGCUGAGCUGGCAGUUCUGUGUCCCCAGGCUUCGGCCCGGCCGCCGCCGCACAUAAACUGCGAGGAGGAGCUUUACGACUUCUCGGUCUUCGGGGCCGGGCGCAGCAAGGGCCAGACUCUGCGCUAGCAGGCGCUGCGCGCCAACCGGCCGGCCCCUGUCGCAGAAGGUGCAACCGAUCGCACUGUCGCGCAGAAGCUCCUCAAUGGCCAGCGCCAGCUGCAGCCCCGGCUGCCCACUCGCCUCACCUGAGCCUGGGUGGAACAAUCCAAAGUUUUAAUCAAAGAAGGUGGUAUUCAGUUGCUGCUUACAAUAGUUGAUACCCCAGGAUUUGGAGAUGCAGUGGAUAAUAGUAAUUGCUGGCAGCCUGUUAUCAAUUACAUUGAUAGUAAAUUUGAGGACUACCUAAAUGCAGAAUCGCAAGUGAACAGAUGUCAGAUGCCUGGUAACAGGGUGCACUGUUGUUUAUACUUCAUUGCUCCUUCAGGACAUGGACCGUUACAUAACUGAAGACUCCCACCUUCAGGCAGGAUUGGGUAGUACAUGUUUGUAACUACCUGGCAUUGCCUUUUGUUGAGACUUAAACCAUUGGAUAUUGAGUUUACAAAGCAUUUGCAUGAAAAAGUGAAUAUCAUCCCACUUAUUGCCAAAGCAGACACACUCAUGCCAGAGGAAUGCCAACAGUUUAAAAAACAGAUAAAGAAAUCCAAGAACAUAAAGUUAAAAUAUAUGAAUUUCCAGAAACAGAUGAUGAAGAAGAAAAAAAACUUGUUAAAAAGAUAAAGGACCAUUUACCUCUUGCUGUGGUGGGUAGUAAUACUAUCAUUGAAGUUAAUGGCAAAAGGGUCAUAGGAAGGCAGUAUCCUUGGAGUGUUGCUGAAGAUGGAGUCUCGCUCUGUCACCCAGGCUGGAAUGCAGUGGCAUGAUCUUGGCUCACUGCAACCUCCGCCUCCCGAGUUCAAGAGAUUCUUCUGCCUCAGCCUCCCAAGUAGCUGGGACUAAAGUUGAAAAUGGUGAACAUUGUGAUUUUACAGUUUUAAGAAAUAUGUUGAUAAGAACACACGCAGGACUUGAAAGAUGUUACUAAUAAUGUCCACUACGAGAACUAUGGAAUCAGAAAACUGGCAGCUGUGACUUAUCAUGGAGUUGAUAACAAGAAGAAUAAAGGGCAGCUCACUAAGGCACUUGGUGUGAAUGGAGCUUGCAGGACUGGAAGUUGCUCUGGAUGAGUCAGUGAGUGAGCGGAGCCCUCUGGCACAAAUGGAAGAAGAAAGAAGGGAGCAAGUAGCUAAAAUUAAGAAGAUGGAGAUGGAGAUGGAGCAGGUGUUUGAGAUGAAGGUCAAAGAAAAAGUUCAAAAACUGAAGGACUCUGAAGCUGAGUCUGCAGAUGUGGAUCCUGACUCCUGAGAGAAGUAGCUCACCGUGACGAAGCUGCGUUUGCUUUUAUCGAUUUGCAAAUCAAAGAAGGGGGACAUAUUGGGAGAAGGCCCCCCAAAAUCUGGCCAUAAACUGGCCACAAAACUGGCCAUAAAAUCUCUGCAGCACUGUGACAUGCUCAUGAUGGCCAUAACGCCCACGCUGGAAGGUUUUGGGUUUACCGGAAUGAAGGCAAGGAACACCUGGCCUGCCCAGGGCAGAAAACCACUUAAAGGCAUUCUUAAACCACAAACAGUAGCAUGAGCGAUCUGUGCCUUAAGGGCAUGUUCCUGCUGCAGAUAACUAGCCAGACCCACCCCUUUAUUUCAGGCCAUCCCUUCAUUUCCCAUAAGGGAUACUUUUAGUUAAUUGAAUAUCUAUAGAAACAAUGCUAAUGACUGGUUUGCUGUUAAUAAAUAAGUGGGUAAAUCUCUGUUCGGGGCUCUCAGCUCUGAAGGCUGUGAGACCCCUGAUUUCCCACUUUACACCUCUA
ensembl:lncRNA novel transcript